rnacentral:lncRNA from 1 species
AAGCUGCUCAAAGGAAUUACACUCAGUCAAACCUUGACCAACGUCGUCAUCCCGGCUUUCGAUAUCAAGCGUCUCCAACCAGUCAUCUUCUCUACCAUCGACGUAGGAACCCGAACUUGACCAUAUAACCCUGAUUUCGCGGACUCCAGAUAGAUAUGGAUCCUUAUAUUGCCGCUUUGAUUCGAAUUCUCAUACGUCUCUUUUGAUAUUCUUGCAAUUUGACGGGGGACAGGCGAAAAAGGAUCCUCUGAAGAAUGCGCGGUUGGCAGAUGUUUGCCUUGGCACCUCCGCAGCUCCUACAUUCCUCCCGGCGCACUUCUUCCAGACUACAGACAAGAACGGAAACAUCCGUAGCUUCGAUCUCGUUGAUGGUGGGGUCGCUGCAAAUAAUCCAGUAAGUGCAAAAACGAGAAUGAAAUUUGGCUAUAUAUACAAUGGUAAAAUGUAUUCAAUAAGGGCGUUACACUGUUAUUACUUCCUAAACUUUUCUAAAAUGCCAUAAUACGGUGUCUGACUACAUGACAGGACAAAAGAAACAACAAAAAAGAGAAUUAACAAUAUGAAAUCGUGUGUUUUGCAGACCCUAGUUGCUCUGAACCUCGUUAGGAGAGAGAACCUAUCGCAAAACGAAUUGUUCAAGGGCAUAAAUCUAAGAGAUACCGAUCAAAUACUAGUGCUGUCACUUGGUACUGGUACGACCAAGAAUGAAGAGAAGUAUAGUGCGACCGAGGCCGCUAAAUGGGGACUCCUACCCUGGAUCAAUUACAAUGGUUCGACUCCAAUAAUCGAUAUCUUCAAUGAAGCAUGUUCCGAUAUGGUCGAUAUUCACUUGUCUACUCACUUCCAAUCCUUAAAAUGCCAAAAAAAUUACCUCCGAAUUCAGGUAUGAGAUGGAUUGCUAACAUCGCAUGUGGCUUCAUAAAACAUUGUCAUUUUACCGCUUUACGCUGGCUCAUGACCACGCGGCUUCUUUUGACAUCAUUUCUCGUGGAUUGCUUCAAAACAGGAUGACACCUUGACUGGAAAAGAAUCAUCGCUUGAUAAUUCGACCCGCGAGAAUCUAGAGAGGCUCGUGGAAAUAGGGGAGAAGCUAUUGCAGAAACGAGUGUCAAGGGUAAACUUGGAGACCGGUAAGUUUGAAAAGAUUGAAGGAGAAGGCACCAAUGGAGAUGCGCUUAGGCGCUUUGCAAUUCGGCUUUCUGAAGAAAGGAAGAGGCGAAACAAAUAGAUAUUAUACAUCCGAAUAUGGUCUGUCGGGAUUCGUGAACAUGCCGCUUAGAUGAAUGUAAAAUAGUUUAUAGAAUAUUCCGUGCAAGAUAAUAGUCUCGGGUGUUAAGCUCUUCGCAAUGUUUGUAGAAUUUCUUCUGUCUACUUCAACUAUGAAAUUUUGUAAUUUCAACUAUGAUGUAAUUUAAUUGAGUUCCAGCACUUUAAGUUUAUCCCUAACUAGUUUUCCAUUUUUUAACUUUCCCUAGAGUCGUAAUAUAGACAUAAUAUGCAAAUAAAAAAUAAGGAAUGUUCAAUGUAUGAGAGAUAUAAACUACAAGUUCACUUCGAAAUGUGGGUGUUUGUUGAGGCAUUUAACGUUUAAGUAAGAAGAACAUUUUGGAAAGCAUCACAAAUGUUAUAACUUUCGCUCAACGUUUACUUAAUUAUCAUAAGUUUUUUUUUUCAAUCACUAAAGUAAGAUGGUUCUUAGAGAAACGUUCACUUGAGUAACAUAACUUUUUUUUCGAUCACUUAAGUGCUAAAUUUAGAAGUCACGACUCAAGUGAUCUGAAAAAGGUUAUAACAAUCAAGUGAGAACUAUAUGAAAAUAUGUCACUCAAGAUGUCAUUUUAUCUCAACUUUUAAAGCAUAGAAUUAUAUUUUUUAUAGAAUUUUUUACACUUAAAUUGUCCAAAAAUACAUGUUACAGUAUAGUCAUUCCGAAUCUUUUCAUAACUUUUCAAAAAUUAGAGUAUUAUUUGUGUUUUGGCGGUAAAUUUAAAUGUGGCUUACAUGGUUGGCUUUAAUACCGAAUCAAAGAAGUAGUGAUUCCUUCAUAUCCUUUGCUAAACAUCCUAAUCAAAAUCCAAAAUCGAAACAAUGAUUCCAUUCACGUCUCUACCGAACAUGCCGCCUCUAUCAAGAAACGAAGUGAAUUAGAACUUUCGGCGAAAGGACAUCAAGUAAUAAAAGCUGGUUACCGGGUAUGUGGCAAAUGGAUCUCUUCAAAGGAAAAAAGCCUUUAGGCCCCCAAAGAUUUAAGGCCUUACCCCAUUGUCGUUUCUUCUACAGCCGCCGGUUUCUCAGAGGAAAAUAAGAAGAGAAGAAACAAGAAAUAAGUUCACGAAUCAAUCCACGUCUUCUUCAACUACUUGCAUGAUCCUAUCACGUUCCCCUUACAUCCAAGAUUUGAUGAUGACUACCUCAACCUCUAAGCAUUCCUUGUUACUUUAUGCUCAGAACAUUCAAAUGCCAGUGACUGCUCUUUGCCCUUUCGCUAAUGUGGGGAAAAUCAGACUUCUCUCGAGCUAGGAUGAGCUUUAGCUCAUUAUUUUCUUAUGGCGAGUUGUUUGCCUCUCGUACUGCGAUUUGGAUCGCAAUUUUAGCACUAAUUAAGUCUAAUUAUCUUGCUUGAAAACCAAAUUAGCUUGCUGAUAAUGUGUCGAGCAUGAAAGAUAGGGUCCAUGUUUAGCUUUAAAUCCUCCAAUGAUAAUGAGCAGGUAUGGUAAAAGGAAUCUUCACAUACACGAGAUACACGGGCAUGAGAAAACAAAUAAUGCGCCUUUGGACAAUCCAAUGGGAAUGAAGACCACCACAUCAUGAAUCGUGCCAUCUCCAAGGGAAGUUUACAGAAAACAGACUUUUUCCCUCAACUUUUUAUUGUCCCUAUCCCUCUUUUCACUAAAGCGAAUAGACUUUGGAAUAGUGCACGAAGACUUGAUAGAAACAGAAGUCGCCCAAGAAAAGAGCCCAAUAAUUGAUUAGGCGCAGGAGAGAGCGCAUUAGUGCCACUUCCAAGAAGAUUCCAGUUUCAUUCGAGCUAUAAAAUAUUACUAUGAUAGGUUCUCACCAACAAAUAUUCAUCUCUUAGUUGCUAUCCAUUUGCAAAACGACGAGUCAGUGUUCUGAUUCUUCUUGAGCUGAGCUCUUCUCAGCCUUGUCCAUGGCGAGAAGUGGAUCUCCGACGGGGAAGAUGGUGACAGUCCUGAGUAUCGACGGAGGUGGUGUAAGAGGGAUCAUUCCUGGCACGAUCCUUGCCAAUCUCGAAUCCAUACUUCAAGUAAUCGCCCCCAUUUAUUUUAUUUGUCAAUGUUUCCUUUGUAGAUGAUGUUGGAUAACAACUAUCGAGUGUGGCAUGCCAGCCGUGAAAAUGGUACCCCAAAAUCUCCAUAGUUAGAAUUUAGAACACAGUAAUGAAGAAAAAAAGAUUUGUGUACCUAAUUUGGAAUCCAUCAUAUCCAGAGCUCAACUGCUUUUCCUUACCCUCUGUACCACUAGCUCAAUGAAACCAUUUCUCACGAAUUACGUUCUAUAAAUGGUCGUUAUAUGAGAUUAUUUGUGUAUUAAGAUUAAAAGAGAGAUUUGAACACUAUAUGUAGAGUCUUCUGUCACAAGCCCUCUCAUCAUAGAUCAGGCUCUAUUCGGCCCCUACAAGUGAUGCCCAUAUUAGACUAAUUAGGAAUCUUUAUAUCUCAUCUUAUUAGAUUAACUUCGUAAAAAAGUAACAUUUAAUCUCAGUUAAUAUAGUCCACAUCAAAAAAAAAAAAAAAACUAUUACAUGGCAGCUGCCCGUUCUAAUCACUCAGCUGGCAUAGACAGCUGGAUUAGAGUCGGGUGAGGUGGCUCACGAAAGCAACAUAAGCUACUGAGGUUUUGAUGGUCCUCCAGCUAUGAAGAAAAGCAUCUUAUGAAAAUUGCAGCAUCCCCUUUUACAUUUGCAGUUGCUGUUAGGAAGCUAUUAGCUUGGGCAUUUUUAAUCUGUAUGAAUAGUCUUAUUUUUAUGGUGAUCAUAGCAGUCGUUUAAAGUUGAUGAAAUUUACAGGAAUUGGAACCAAACAGAAGGGACCUGAGAAUUGCAGAUUAUUUCGACAUAAUUGCUGGCACAAGCACGGGUGGGUUGAUCACGGCCAUGAUUACAGCACCAAAUGAGAACAACCGUCCGAAGUUUCCAGCCUGUGAAAUCAAUAAAAUUUACUUUAAGAGUUGUCCUAAAAUAUUUCCCCAGAAAUGGUAAGUUAUGUUAAUUCAUUUUCUUCUUUCCUUUAAAUAUAAUUCUUCGAGUCAUGUGAACAUCCAAGCAAUAAUCUAAAAAAGGAAAGUCAGCCGUAAAUUUCUGUAAUCAAUUAAACUAGUACCAUGUCUAUUCGUUGUGCAAGCGUGAAUUUUUUUUAUUUGAAUAAAAUUGGAAUAUAUGUAUUUUAGCUUCAAUUAUUCAUCAUAUUGUAAACCAUUUCAUAUGGAUCUUCCUCUUUUAAACAAAACGAAGGUGAAAUUCUUAGUUCAUAUUAUAUAUUAAUUAGACAAAAUAUUGAGACUCCAUAAUCAUUAGAAAAUUUCAAAUUUUUGUUGUUAUAUGACAUAGGAAAAUUUUAUAUGUAAUCAGCAGCAUUAUUUCAAUAUUGAGAGGAACACUAAAAAUAUUUCAGGGAAAUACUUCACAAGAAAAGUUACAGAUAUCUUAUGAUUUUCGAUAAUUGCUAGUUUAUAAUAUUAAAAUCAUUAAAACUAUUUUAUUUUAUAGCAAAACUCAUGGUACUUCAUGAGAAGCACAAAAUCCUAGUUAGAAGCAAAAUGAAUGGAGAGUGCACGCAAAGUACUCCUUGCAAGGAGACUUAUUGAUCCCUUACAAAUUAGAAUCCCUUACAAAUGAAGAGCUUCCUAUUAUAUAUUUAUAAAAUUCUUUUUACUGUAGAAAGCAAUGAUACAAAUGGGCAAAGUUUAUAAGAAAAUUGAUGUAUCGACUAUUUAGUGAUGUUUGGUAAUUAAUCAGACGUAUCAAUAGAAGUCACUUACUACUAAUUAUUAACAUUUGCAUUCUUUUUUAUUGGGUAGAUUUAUUUAAUCAAUUGGACUCGGAAUUGAUAUCAUCGUUCAAUUUAUCCCGGUCUCAAGCAAGUUUAUAACGUGUCUUAUAAACAGUCGCAAUAAGAUGAUGAAUUCAAUAAUAAGCUGGGUAGGCGCACUCAUGGGGCCAAAGCAUGACGGGAAGAAGUUGAAAUCCCUGGUCGAAGAUAUGCUCGGUGCCACCACUCUAAGUCAAACCUUGACCAACGUCGUCAUCCCGACUUUCGACAUCAAGCUUCUCCAACCAGUCAUCUUCUCUACCGACGCCGUAAGAACCCGAACUCGACCACAUAACCCUGAUCUCGCCAACUCUAGAUAGAUGUCGAUCCAUAUACGGUCAGUUCAAUCUAAACUCUCCUAUGUCGCUUUGGAGUUUCUAACAAUUGAUGGGGGACAGGC